UUUGUAGUAGAACCAUUCAUCUUGAAGUUCAUGAGGAAUGUAAAUAUAUACUUUUCCAAAAGCGAGACCAGAUGAACAAUCCACAUCAAGUUUGAUACAAUGUACUUCUCAUACAGCAAAAUCAAGGCACAGGAGCAAUGCGAGACAAAUAACCUAUGUAGUUCCACGGAAGCAUAUUUUUGGAUAGAUCCACCUGAUCUUCUUGAUCGUCUUGACAUUCAACCUUUCAUAGGGCCAUGAGCAAAAGGAAGAAAGCAGAGAGAUUUAGUUAGUGGCAAUAGGAGGAUAAAGAAGUAAACUGUACUAUUGGUAGCUACUACAAUGUCCAGAUCGAAUAAUCUAACGAUCAUAUCCACUUGUACAUAUUUGGGCCCUCUGUUCAAUAUGUACCAUAUAAAUUAGGUGUCGCCCAACCUGGGCGAUUGGGGGGAACCCAGCCGCCGGUGGCUCACCACCCCUCCUCGUGCCUGCCCCCGCGUCACCGUUGCCGGAUACUGAUUUAUAUGGUUCUUCUAUGGCAUAAAGUGAUGCAAUUUAUUGCCAAAGUAGGAAUGGUUCAUAGCAGAACCAUAUAAAUUAGGCGGCAAAUGAGUAAGAAGAUUAGCCCUCUGUUCUAGCCAAAUUAAGGGGCUGGCUAAGGCAUGGUGCUGCACAAUCUUCAUACCAAUUUUCCCUGCUACAAUGUAAUGAAGCUUUGAAACUACAUAUACCAAGAUAUUCAUCAACCCAUUCAGAACAUAUACCAAUGUAACGAAGAGGGAGCAGUUAAUUUUGAUACAGAACAUGCACUUGUGAAUUGGCAGGUAAUAUGAAGGUGUUGUAUUGGAAUUUUACCUUCGCUUUCAGUGACACAUAUCAGAUAAUCUUCCCUCGACCCUUUCAUGAUGUGGUUGCUGCCGGUGCUCUAGGAAGAACACAGUUUUCUUAAUACUAAUUUUGAAAUAAGAAAACCUUAUCAUUGUGGAAUAUAAACAGAAGAAAAAGCAAAUAUAUGCAAAUUGUUAAGUUUGAGUGAAAUUUUAGAAACUGAAAUGGCAUGUGAAAUAUAUUUUUAUCUACAUUCUUCAUAUAAGCAUCGUAAAGAGAAAUGUAACCAUAAACUUGCCCUAUUGGAUAUAUCCUAUAUAUUUUCUAAAAUAAACUAUGUAUCAAACAGAAGUCAGAACAAAGGGAAUAUGCAUCAAAUAUGAUUUCACCUACAUUCCUCAUGUACACUUCACAAAAAAAUAGUGUUGGCUUGCUUUUCAUAAAAAUAGCAGUGGGGUCUUAUCCUACUUGUACAGCUAAAAAAUAUAUACGAAUUCACCCCACUCAAAGAAGUACACCUUUUUUUAGGAAUCAAGUGUAAAUCAGCCAAAC
rnacentral:lncRNA from 1 species